GACGAACGCUGGCGGCGUGCUUAACACAUGCAAGUCGAACGGAAAGGCCCUGCUUGCAGGGUACUCGAGUGGCGAACGGGUGAGUAACACGUGGGUGAUCUGCCCUGCACUUCGGGAUAAGCCUGGGAAACUGGGUCUAAUACCGGAUAGGAGCCAUUUUUAGUGUGAUGGUUGGAAAGUUUUUUCGGUGUAGGAUGAGCUCGCGGCCUAUCAGCUUGUUGGUGGGGUAAUGGCCUACCAAGGCGGCGACGGGUAGCCGGCCUGAGAGGGUGGACGGCCACAUUGGGACUGAGAUAAGGCCCAGACUCCUACUGGAGGCAGCAGUGGGGAAGAUUGCACAAUGGGCGCGAGCCUGAUGCAGAGACGCCGCGUGGGGGAUGACGGUCUUCGGGUUGUAAACUCCUUUCGCUAGGGACGAAGCUUUUUGUGACGGUACCUAGAUAAGAAGCACCGGCUAACUACGUG
rnacentral:rRNA from 1 species